UACGGAGGGUGCAAGCGUUAUCCGGAUUCACUGGGUUUAAAGGGUGCGUAGGUGGCUUUGUAAGUCAGUGGUGAAAUCUUAGAGCUUAACUCUAAAACUGCCAUUGAUACUGCUUAGCUUGAAUCAGGUCGAGGUGGAUGGAAUAUUACAUGUAGCGGUGAAAUGCUUAGAUAUGUAAUAGAACACCGAUUGCGAAGGCAGUUCACUAGGCCUGUAUUGACACUGAGGCACGAAAGCGUGGGGAGCAAAC
rnacentral:rRNA from 1 species